rnacentral:rRNA from 1 species
GUGGCGAGUGGCGAACGGGUGAGUAAUACAUCGGAACGUGUCCUGUAGUGGGGGAUAGCCCGGCGAAAGCCGGAUUAAUACCGCAUACGACCURAGGGAGAAAGCGGGGGAUCUUCGGACCUCGCGCUAUAGGGGCGGCCGAUGGCAGAUUAGCUAGUUGGUGGGGUAAAGGCCUACCAAGGCGACGAUCUGUAGCUGGUCUGAGAGGACGACCAGCCACACUGGGACUGAGACACGGCCCAGACUCCUACGGGAGGCAGCAGUGGGGAAUUUUGGACAAUGGGGGCAACCCUGAUCCAGCAAUGCCGCGUGUGUGAAGAAGGCCUUCGGGUUGUAAAGCACUUUUGUCCGGAAAGAAAACUUCGUCCCUAAUAUGGAUGGAGGAUGACGGUACCGGAAGAAUAAGCACCGGCUAACUACGUGCCAGCAGCCGCGGUAAUACGUAGGGUGCGAGCGUUAAUCGGAAUUACUGGGCGUAAAGCGUGCGCAGGCGGUCUGUUAAGACCGAUGUGAAAUCCCCGGGCUUAACCUGGGAACUGCAUUGGUGACUGGCAGGCUUUGAGUGUGGCAGAGGGAGGUAGAAUUCCACGUGUAGCAGUGAAAUGCGUAGAGAUGUGGAGGAAUACCGAUGGCGAAGGCAGCCUCCUGGGCCAACACUGACGCUCAUGCACGAAAGCGUGGGGGAGCAAACAGGAUUAGAUACCCUGGUAGUCCACGCCUUAAACGAUGUCACUAGCUGUGGGGAUUCAUUUCUUAGUAACGUAGCUACGCGUGAAGUUGACGCUGGGGAGUACGUUCGCAGAUUAAACUCAAUCAAUUGACGGACCGCACA